rnacentral:RNase_P_RNA from 1 species
UCCGGGGGAAGCUCACCGCCGAGGCCACCCACGGGGUGCUCGUCACCCACGCCCCGCCUCGGGGAAGGUCUGAGAGAAGGGCCGCCCGCGGCUCUAGCAGAGCCCCGCCCGCGAGGGGCGGGUGAGCCACCAGCAAGGGGGGGCGCCGCGGAUCCUGGGCCGGCCUGGGCAGGAGAAGCCGUAGCUGGUUCGUGGCGGGGGCGGCGGGGCCUCAAAAUCCCCUUCUCCCGCUCGCGAAACCCCGGCGGAUGCUCGUGGCCCCGCGGUGCUUUGAGACAGACUCACGGCCAGCCAUCGUUGAGUCCAAUGGGUGAGGUGGGGCAUCGCCCUACAACCCAAUUCAGACUACUCUCCCCCGGA